ACGGAGGGUGCAAGCGUUAUCCGGAUUUACUGGGUUUAAAGGGUGCGUAGGUGGGUCUGUAAGUCAGUGGUGAAAUCUCCGAGCUUAACUCGGAAACUGCCAUUGAUACUAUAGAUCUUGAAUUAUCUGGAGGUAAGCGGAAUAUGUCAUGUAGCGGUGAAAUGCUUAGAUAUGACAUAGAACACCAAUUGCGAAGGCAGCUUACUACGGAUUUAUUGACACUGAGGCACGAAAGCGUGGGGAUCAAACAGG
rnacentral:rRNA from 1 species